GCUAUCUCACCCUGGCCACGCAAACCUAAACCUAAACCUAAAUCGCCCACCAGCCGCCGCCACCCUUCAUUUCCGUCGAUUCGGUCAUGCCACUGCGCGUCCCACCGUCGCGCGUGCCACCCGAAGCUCCCGUCCAGCCCGUGGUGCAGCCCCACCAGCAGCAGCCUGAGGUGACGCCCCAUCGUCAGCUCAUCCCACGACCGAUGCCGCAUCUGCCGAUUCGGUCACGCCGCUGCGCCUCCACCGCCGGCGGCGCCACGCCACCACCGGAAGCUCUUGCCCAGCCCAUGGUGCAUCCCGACGUGUCGCCCUGGCGACGGCCGACCUGCUUACCAAUUUGCGCCGUUGCUUCUCCAACUGCCGUUAGUGGCCCCCAAAGCUUCCUUCCACCGCGUGGUGCUUCCAUCCACAGCCAAGGAGCCGCACAACCCCCUGCAUCCCGAGGUGCCACCCAGCCGUCCCUCUUCCACCUCGGGUGAUGGAUCUCCUAUUCCCCCUUGUCAUGCCCUCCUUUGCAUCUAACCGUUGCAUCCUGUAGUGUCUUCAAUUGAAUCUAUGUACAGAGGGAAAACUCCACAAGAGGCUUCUGAAGCUUGGUCAACGCCUUCAUGAGGACCAACCUAUAACUCGUAUGUGUCGCUGGAUAAGGCCAUGUCUUUCGUGGGUGGUGCUUGGCUGAUUUGUACAUGGAUACUAUUAAAGAAUGGUACAAACAUAUAUGGAAUAUGAAAGGUUGAUCCAAGCCAGCUUCAGGAGCUCAAGGCAUACAGGAAGACCGAGGAGGAGGGGAUGAACACACUUUUAAACCACUACCUCCAUUUCUGUGCAGUUUCUCUCAAGAUGCAAGCUGAAAUGCUGGUGAUCGAGAAGAACAGUCCUGCGAAUGGCAUCAUCAAGCUCAUCGAGCAACAUCACAUCACAAACCAUGUCAUGGGAACAUCUUCCUUCUCACCGUGUGGCCAGACCAAAUACAGCUUCGUAACAAGGUUUCAUCGAUAAACAUGCACAUCAAAAUUUCCCGCGGACUUCUAUAUAUAUUUAGGCACUAAGAUGUGGUAAAUCAUGAUGGCACACUAUCAACUUAUAUAAGGUCCUCGAGGGUAAAAGCAAGUAAUGAACAAGUGACAAUGGCACGUCCACAUGUUGAUUCAAGAUGUUCUGAUGAUCGGUUUUGUUCAUAACAUGUUUGACACAUUUUGUGGAUAUGGAAGUUGAUGUCAGCUCGGUGAUCGAAGAGAUUUGGUCUCUUCCUUAAUAUCUUGUAGUAGUCAAGUGAUCGAACAAUUGGGUCUCUUAGGAGCUUAGCCAUCAUAUUUUGUAAUAGACCACGUCUUUUAUGUCGACUUACUUAUUUCCUUAUUGGUUGUAGCUGACUUGAGUGUAGCAAACUAAUGAAUCUUGUAUACAUGCUUGAAUGAAUGUAUUAAUCAAAUGGUAUCUUGUGAUGAA